GGGGCAUAUUGGCCAAUGGGCGAAAGCCUGAUCCAGCCAUGCCGCGUGUGUGAAGAAGGUCUUCGGAUUGUAAAGCACUUUAAGCUGGGAGGAAGGGCUGCAAGUUAAUACCUUGUAGUUUUGACGUUACCAACAGACUAAGCACCGGCUAACUUCGUGCCAGCAGCCGCGGUAAUACGAAGGGUGCAAGCGUUAAUCGGAAUUACUGGGCGUAAAGCGCGCGUAGGUGGUUUGGUAAGAUGGAUGUGAAAGCCCCGGGCUCAACCUGGGAACUGCAUCCAAAACUGGCGAGCUAGAGUAUGGCAGAGGGUGGUGGAAUUUCCUGUGUAGCGGUGAAAUGCGUAGAUAUAGGAAGGAACACCAGUGGCGAAGGCGACCACCUGGGCUAAUACUGACACUGAGGUGCGAAAGCGUGGGGAGCAAACA
rnacentral:rRNA from 1 species